rnacentral:rRNA from 1 species
GACGAACGCUGGCGGCGUGCUUAACACAUGCAAGUCGAACGGAAAGACCCUGCUUUUGUGGGGUGCUCGAGUGGCGAACGGGUGAGUAACACGCGAGUAACCUGCCCUUGACUUUGGGAUAACUUCAGGAAACUGGGGCUAAUACCGGAUAGGAGCUCCUGCUGCAUGGUGGGGGUUGGAAAGUUUCGGCGGUUGGGGAUGGACUCGCGGCUUAUCAGCUUGUUGGUGGGGUAGUGGCUUACCAAGGCUUUGACGGGUAGCCGGCCUGAGAGGGUGACCGGCCACAUUGGGACUGAGAUACGGCCCAGACUCCUACGGGAGGCAGCAGUGGGGAAUAUUGCACAAUGGGCGGAAGCCUGAUGCAGCAACGCCGCGUGCGGGAUGACGGCCUUCGGGUUGUAAACCGCUUUCGCCUGUGACGAAGCGUGAGUGACGGUAAUGGGUAAAGAAGCACCGGCUAACUACGUG